rnacentral:misc_RNA from 1 species
AACGCACGAGACCUGCGGACCUGCGGAGGGAUCAUUAAUGAGAAGCUGCCCCUCGUGGGUAGACCUCCCACCCUCUGUGAACUUACCUUUGUUGCUUUGGCAGGCCCGUCCUCUGGACCGCCGGCUUCGGCUGGCCCGUGCCAGCCAGAGGAUUCCAAACCCUGUCUGUCAGUGUUGUCUGAGUCUAUAUGAAAUCGUUAAAACUUUCAACAAUGGAUCUCUAGAUCGGAAGAGCACACG